rnacentral:misc_RNA from 1 species
GAUGAAGAACGUAGCGAAAUGCGAUAAGUAAUGUGAAUUGCAGAAUUCAGUGAAUCAUCGAAUCUUUGAACGCACAUUGCGCCCGCCAGUAUUCUGGCGGGCAUGCCUGUUCGAGCGUCAUUACAACCCUCAGGCCCCCGGGCCUGGCGUUGGGGAUCGGCGGAGCCCCCCGUGGGCACACGCCGUCCCCCAAAUGCAGUGGCGGUCCCGCCGCAGCUUCCAUCGCGUAGUAGCUAACACCUCGCGACUGGAGAGCGGCGCGGCCACGCCGUAAAACACCCAACUCUUCUGAAGUUGACCUCGAAUCAGGUAGUAAUACCCGCUGAACUUAAGCAUAUCAAUAAGCGGAGGA